rnacentral:lncRNA from 1 species
UUUUACGGGCAGCAUGCUUGUAACACUGCUUCUUUUUCAAGGAAUUGAUUGGCACCUUGUCCUCCUCAUCAUCUGAUUUGGUGAGAUUAAUCAGCUUAUUAAUAUCAUUAUCUUGCUCUGAUAUUGGCAUAGUCGAUGGAAGUGGGAUAGGUGUAGUAGCAGGUUCAGUUGGUGCAGAAACUGGGUUUGUUUCUUCUUUUUCCUGGUCAGACUCAAUGUUUA